ensembl:snRNA U6 U6 spliceosomal RNA
AUGCUAACUUUGACAGCACUUAGGUUAUAAGUGGAAUGAUACAGAAAAGAUUCCUGGCCCUUGCUCAGGAAUGAUAUGCAAAUUCAUGAAACAUUCCAUCUCUCU